GUGAACACACCACUCACACUACAAAAUGGUAUCGAAUAGUACAAAAGUACUUGUCUUUACUGUAGGAAAUGGACAACCAGUUGACUAACUGGGGUUAAUGUUUUACACGCUCGACUAUGAUCUUUAGCAUUAUCUGUUGCUUAUUGAAGUUGUGGACCAUCAAGCUGUUUAUUAACUUUACAGACAAUGAUAAAACUGGAUAAAGGAAUUUCAUUUUGUCCCGAAUGACUGCAGCAGCUUGUUCAAAACCCCUCCGAAAAAAAAAAGCACGCACAAAGAAAACAGAGAUUCAUAUCGUUUAUUUUUUUUCUGGCAUGUAAAGUACAAAUAAUUAAACAAUUCCAUGAAAAAGUCCUCAAGCGUCUUCAGCUGAAAUCCCAGUAAUAAAUAUCCUAAACUAAA